GGCGUGGUGGUCUAGUGGUAUGAUUCUCGCUUAGGGUAACACCCUAUGCUUCCAGCUUGCGAGAGGUCCCGGGUUCAAUCCCCGGCCAGGCCC